CGAACGGGUGAGUAACGCGUGAGGAACCUGCCUCAAAGAGGGGGACAACAGUUGGAAACGACUGCUAAUACCGCAUAAGCCCACGACCCGGCAUCGGGUAGAGGGAAAAGGAGCAAUCCGCUUUGAGAUGGCCUCGCGUCCGAUUAGCUAGUUGGUGAGGUAGCGGCCCACCAAGGCGACGAUCGGUAGCCGGACUGAGAGGUUGAACGGCCACAUUGGGACUGAGACACGGCCCAG
rnacentral:rRNA from 1 species